CGAGGAGGACGAGGAGGAGGAGGAAUGAUUCUGCGGGCAGUCUGCCAGAUUGGCAAUUUGAAACGCACUGUCUGUGACGGCUGCUGAGGCUGCUGCGGGGGAGUGAAGGGCUGUCAUGACGAUGACCCCUGGAGUUGGUCCUGUGUGUUAGGAGCAUAAGGUCAAUUUUAUGAAGGACACCAUCACCUCUCUACAUUGCAGCUGAAUGCACUCAAGUAUUCAAUGGAUUGAUGUAUCUCAAUGAAAACAUGAAAAAGAAAACAGAUUUGAGGAGGAAGUGUGAAUCCAACUAUUAUGUAUGUGUGAGAUAUGGAGGAGGAAGAAGACACAGCCAAGGAGAUGAUCUGUUUAAGCAAGAUUGCUUCCAGAGAAGUUCCUGCAGUACUCAGCAUGACUUGUGCCCAGGACUUUAAAGGCUUCACUGUGGUGCUGAAUGCAGAUCCCUGGUACUGGAACAGGGUAAUAUAUGCUUAGCAAAGAAACUUUGAGAAACACACGAAGACCACUUGAAAAACCCAACCAGAGGGAGCCCUGUCACAUUCAGAGAGCCUUCAUCUGAUAGCUGAUGGAAGCCGAAGCAGAGAC